UACGGAAGGCAGCAGUGGGGAAUAUUGCACAAUGGGCGAAAGCCUGAUGCAGCUAUGCCGCGUGUAUGAAGAAGGCCUUAGGGUUGUAAAGUACUUUCAUCGGGGAGGAAAAAACAAAACUAAUAAUUUUAUUUCUUGACGUUACCCGAAAAAGAAGCACCGGCUAACUCCGUGCCAGCAGCCGCGGUAAUACGGAGGGUGCUAGCGUUAAUCAGAAUUACUGGGCGUAAAGAGCACGUAGGUGGUUUUUUUAAGUCAGAUGUGAAAUCCCUGGGCUUAACCUGGAACUGCAUUUUGAAACUGAAAUACUAGAGUAUCGUAGAGGGAGGUAGAAUUCUAGGUGUAGCGGUGAAAUGCGUAGAUAUCUGGAGGAAUACCUGUGGCGAAAGCGGCCUCCUAAACGAAUACUGACACUGAGGUGCGAAAGCGUGGGGAGCAAACGAGGGAUUAGGAUACCCGU
rnacentral:rRNA from 1 species